rnacentral:rRNA from 1 species
AUUGAACGCUGGCGGCAUGCCUUACACAUGCAAGUCGAACGGCAGCAUAGAGAGCUUGCUCUCUGAUGGCGAGUGGCGAACGGGUGAGUAAAGCAUCGGAACGUACCGUGUAGUGGGGGAUAACGUAGCGAAAGUUACGCUAAUACCGCAUACGUACUGAGGUAGAAAGCAGGGGAUCGUAAGACCUUUCGCUAUACGAGCGGCCGAUGUCAGAUUAGCUAGUUGGUAGGGUAAAGGCCUACCAAGGCGACGAUCUGUAGCGGGUCUGAGAGGAUGAGCCGCCACACUGGGACUGAGACCCGGCCCAGACUCAUACGGGAGGCAGCAGUGGGGAAUUUUGGGCAAUGGGGGCAACCCUGAUCGAGCCAUGCCGCGUGAGUGAAGAAGGCCUUCGGGUUGUAAAGCUCUUUCGGCCGGGAAGAAAUCGCACAGGCUAAUACCCUGUGUGGAUGACGGUACCGGCAUAAGAAGCACCGGCUAACUACGUGCCAGCAGCCGCAGUAA